GUAUAAUGCUGUUUCCGUUUAGCGUAUUAGGAAUAUUCCUGUUUUUAUGUGAUAGUUCCAAUAGCAAGCGCAAUUGGGACUUCGAACUUAUCUCCAUAUACUCGAACUCUACUGAUGAGAGCAAAAUGAAAAUAGAUCUGCACAUCAAACGGAUGCGACGUGGCGAAUCUGCAAUAUUCGGCGAAUGGACAUGGCAAUAUGAUAUUGACGACACCACCGGGAUUGAAAUGAAAUCAUUCAGUUCCCCAAGUGGAGCCGAGAAUGACUAUAAACCGUUGCCCUACCAUAUACCAAAUAUGAAAUUUGACGAUUUUUUAGAUAGAUACUAUAACGAUUUGUUCUAUAAAAAUUAUAACCACUGCACAAAUUUGCCGCUAUAUAAAAACAAAGUCGAAACCCCGUGGAGCAAGACAACUUUUAGAUACGAAAAUUGUGUGCCCAUAGGGUACGGAGUACCAGAAAUUCUGCCGGAAAGCUUCUAUAAAAUAAUUGCCCGUAUUACCGGCGAGGUGGAGGCUUAUUUCGUAUUUGUUGUUAAGAUCUCUCGGAAAU